rnacentral:rRNA from 1 species
AUUGAACGCUGGCGGCAUGCCUUACACAUGCAAGUCGAACGGCAGCACGGGGGCAACCCUGGUGGCGAGUGGCGAACGGGUGAGUAAAGCAUCGGAACGUACCCGGAAGUGGGGGAUAACGUAGCGAAAGUUACGCUAAUACCGCAUAUUCUGUGAGCAGGAAAGCAGGGGACCGCAAGGCCUUGCGCUUUCGGAGCGGCCGAUGUCGGAUUAGCUAGUUGGUGGGGUAAAGGCCUACCAAGGCGACGAUCCGUAGCGGGUCUGAGAGGAUGAUCCGCCACACUGGGACUGAGACACGGCCCAGACUCCUACGGGAGGCAGCAGUGGGGAAUUUUGGACAAUGGGGGCAACCCUGAUCCAGCCAUGCCGCGUGAGUGAAGAAGGCCUUCGGGUUGUAAAGCUCUUUCGGCCGGGAAGAAAUCGCGCUCUCUAACACAGGGUGUGGAUGACGGUACCGGAAUAAGAAGCACCGGCUAACUACGUGCCAGCCGCCGCCGUAA